rnacentral:rRNA from 1 species
UGCCAGCCGCCGCGGUAAUACGGAGUGUGCAAGCGUUACUCGGAAUCACUGGGCUUAAAGAGCACGUAGGCGGAGACUCAAGUCGGUUGUGAAAUCCCCCGGCUCAACCGGGGAACUGCAGCCGAAACUGUUUCUCUUGAGGACAAGAGGGGAGAGCAGAACUUCUGGUGGAGCGGUGAAAUGCGUAGAUAUCAGAAGGAAUGUCGGUGGUGAAAACGGCUCUCUGGCUUGUUUCUGACGCUGAGGUGCGAAAGCUAGGGCAGCGAACGGGAUUAGAUA